AGAACAGGUCCACUGUAGUCCAGGGCAGGGUAGGUUAAAGUACAGUAGAGUACAGUAGAGUACAGUAGAGUAGAGUACAGUAGAGUACAGUAGAGUAGAGAACAGGUCCACUGUAGUCCAGGGCAGGGUCAGGUUAAAUGUAGAGUAGAGUACAGUAGAGUAGAGAACAGGUCCACUGUAGUCCAGGGCAGGGUCAGGUUAAAUGUACAGUAGAGUACAGUAGAGUAGAGAACAGGUCCACUGUAGUCCAGGGCAGGGUCAGGUUAAAUGUAGAGUAGAGUACAGUAGAGUACAGUAGAGUACAGUAGAGUACAGUAGAGUAGAGAACAGGUCCACUGUAGUCCAGGGCAGGGUCAGGUUAAAUGUACAGUAGAGUACAGUAGAGUACAGUAGAGUACAGUAGAGUACAGUAGAGUACAGUAGAGUAGAGAACAGGUCCACUGUAGUCCAGGGCAGGGUCAGGUUAAAUGUAGAGUAGAGUACAGUAGAGUAGAGAACAGGUCCACUGUAGUCCAGGGCAGGGUCAG
ensembl:lncRNA